CGAGAAAGCCCGCAAGGGUGAGUAAAGCGGCGCACGGGUGCGUAACACGUGGGUAAUCUGCCCUAGAGUCCGGAAUAACUCGCCGAAAGGCGUGCUAAUGCCGGAUGAGACCACGGGAGCUUCGGCUCCUGCGGGAAAAGGUGGCCUCUGUAUACAAGCUAUCGCUCUAGGAUGAGCCCGCGGCCCAUCAGCUCGUUGGCGGGGUAAUGGCCCACCAAGGCUACGACGGGUAGCUGGUCUGAGAGGACGAUCAGCCACACUGGAACUGAGACACGGUCCAGACUCCUACGGGAGGCAGCAGUGGGGAAUCUUGCGCAAUGGGCGAAAGCCUAACGCAGCAACGCCGCGUGUGUGAUGAAGGUCUUCGGAUCGUAAAGCACUGUCGCGAGGGACG
rnacentral:rRNA from 1 species